UUAUAAUUUAAGCUUCCACGGACUUAAUAAAUUAAGCUCCAAAAUUUUCCAUACAAGAAUUUCCCUCAUUUUAUUAUUAACAUUUAACAAUACAUAUAUUUAGCGAUUAACAGAUAAUAUAUAAUAUAGUAUUAUAUACCAUCAAAACAGCAAGAAAAAAAAAAGAAUUCAGGUUGCCGGUUCGCGGUGGAGCUUGGUGAUGGUGGAGGCUGCAACAGCAGAUCCUGGUGAUGGUGGAGGCUGCAACAGCAGAUCCAGCAGCAUCUGACCCGAUAGCAGCGCAUCAGAUCUAGUAGUAGCAGAUCCGGUAGAUAUCCGGCAACAGCAGAUCUGGUAGAUAUCCGGUAACAGCAGAUCUAGUAGCUACGGAUGUUGCGGAGCAGUAGAUCCGGUCGCGGGUUAGGUGGCUACAUGCGCUGGUUGUGCUUCCUCCGCUCUCUUCUCUGCGUUUGUAGGCUGUGAAAGUCAUGAGCGUGAGGAUGAAGAUGUGUUUGUGCACGUGAAGUCAUGAGUGUGAGGAUGAGGGCUGUGAAGAUGAGAGGGCUGUGAAAGUAGCGAGAUAUGGUUGUGUGCGUGGGUUAUAAUUUGAUUUGUUUUUUAUUUGUCAAUUGUUUUUUAGCUAAUUGUUUUUUAGUUGAGACUUUGUG
rnacentral:lncRNA from 1 species